rnacentral:rRNA from 1 species
GUCGAGAAUCUUUUGCAAUGCGCGAAAGCGUGACAAAGCGACGCUGCGUGGAGGAUGACGGCCUUCGGGUUGUAAACUCCUGUCAUUUGGGAAAAAUGGACCCCGUGUGAAUAGCGCGGGGGACUGAUGGUACCGAAAGAGGAAGCCGCUGCUAACUCUGUGCCAGCAGCAGCGGUGAUACAGAGGCGGCAAGCGUUGUUCGGAUUUACUGGGCGUAAAGGGUGCGUAGGCUGUCUCGUGUGUCGGGUGUGAAAUCCCACGGCUCAACUGUGGAACUGCAUCCGGGACUGCGAGACUAGAGUACAGGAUGGGAGAGCGGAAUUCUCGGUGUAGCGGUGAAAUGCGUUGAUAUCGAGAAGAACACCGGCGGCGAAGGCGGCUCUCUGGAAUGUAACUGACGCUGAGGCACGAAAGCUGGGGGAGCAAACAGGAUUAGAAACCCCUGUAGUCC